rnacentral:rRNA from 1 species
AUUGAACGCUGGCGGCAGGCCUAACACAUGCCAGUCGAGCGGAUGAAGGGAGCUUGCUCCUGGAUUCAGCGGCGGACGGGUGAGUAAUGCCUAGGAAUCUGCCUGGUAGUGGGGGAUAACGUCCGGAAACGGGCGCUAAUACCGCAUACGUCCUGAGGGAGAAAGUGGGGGAUCUUCGGACCUCACGCUAUCAGAUGAGCCUAGGUUGGAUUAGCUAGUUGGUGGGGUAAAGGCCUACCAAGGCGACGAUCCGUAACUGGUCUGAGAGGAUGAUCAGUCACACUGGAACUGAGACACGGUCCAGACUCCUACGGGAGGCAGCAGUGGGGAAUAUUGGACAAUGGGCGAAAGCCUGAUCCAGCCAUGCCGCGUGUGUGAAGAAGGUCUUCGGAUUGUAAAGCACUUUAAGUUGGGAGGAAGGGCAGUAAGUUAAUACCUUGCUGUUUUGACGUUACCAACAGAAUGAGCACCGGCUAACUUCGUG